rnacentral:lncRNA from 1 species
UGGGGGUGGUUGUGGCUAUGUGCAGGACCUUACCUUGGACCUGCAAGUUGGCGUUAUUAAGCCCUGGUUGCUUCUGGGGUCCCAGGAUGCUGCGCAUGAUCUGGAGCUACUGAGACAGCACAAGGUGACCCAUAUUCUCAACGUCGCGUAUGGAGUUGAGAACGUUUUCCUCAGUGAGUUUACAUAUAAGACCAUUUCUAUACUGGAUGUGCCUGAAACCAAUAUCCUGUCCUAUUUUCCAGAAUGUUUUGAGUUUAUUGAGCAAGCAAAACUGAAGUGAGACCUCCAAGGAAGGAGAUGCCAAGUAGUGCUUCAAAGCUUCGGACCACAAUCAAACACAGCAUCCUUUUCAACAGAAGCAGAAGCUCAUCUGAAUAUGCUCAAGGAUGCUGACAUCAACAUUUAAUCAUCUCCUCACUCAUCCAGGAAGAGGGGGAGAUCAGUUACUACUGUACUUUAUUGUGUUCAACCAAAUCACCAUGUUACAAAAAUAGCAAGCUGCCAUAAUAAAAAAUAAGGCUCCUC